rnacentral:rRNA from 1 species
ACGGCAGCACGGGAGCAAUCCUGGUGGCGAGUGGCGAACGGGUGAGUAAAGUAUCGGAACGUGCCCAGUCGUGGGGGAUAACGCAGCGAAAGUUGUGCUAAUACCGCAUACGAUCUAUGGAUGAAAGCGGGGGAUCGCAAGACCUCGCGCGAUUGGAGCGGCCGAUAUCAGAUUAGGUAGUUGGUGGGGUAAAGGCUCACCAAGCCGACGAUCUGUAGCUGGUCUGAGAGGACGACCAGCCACACUGGAACUGAGACACGGUCCAGACUCCUACGGGAGGCAGCAGUGGGGAAUUUUGGACAAUGGGCGCAAGCCUGAUCCAGCAAUGCCGCGUGCAGGAUGAAGGCCUUCGGGUUGUAAACUGCUUUUGUACGGAACGAAAAGGCUCUGGUUAAUACCUGGGGCACAUGACGGUACCGUAAGAAUAAGCACCGGCUAACUACGUGCCAGCAGCCGCGGUAAUACGUAGGGUGCGAGCGUUAAUCGGAAUUACUGGGCGUAAAGCGUGCGCAGGCGGUAAUGCAAGACAGAUGUGAAAUCCCCGGGCUUAACCUGGGAACUGCAUUUGUGACUGCAUUGCUGGAGUGCGGCAGAGGGGGAUGGAAUUCCGCGUGUAGCAGUGAAAUGCGUAGAUAUGCGGAGGAACACCGAUGGCGAAGGCAAUCCCCUGGGCCUGCACUGACGCUCAUGCACGAAAGCGUG